rnacentral:lncRNA from 1 species
ACAGUCAGUAUUCAGAACAAUGAUUGUUUGCAUAUGACCAAGUUCUCUACUUCACCAAGUGGACAUCUUAACUAUGAACCCAGAUAUGAUCUCUCACCAGGCUCCAGAUCUUCCAACAUUUGCCAUUUUCCAGUUUUGGUCAACUUGCCAUUGGAGUUCAUUGAUUUCGGGAAUGCCACAGUCAAAUGAAGAAAAUCACUUCAGUAGCUAGAUGAGAAAACUGAGACCCAGAGAGAUUGUUCAACAUCACACAGGUAGUACAAGGUCAAAAUCCAAUUUGAUUCUGGGUCUUCUGUCUCCAAAACCUUUGCUCAUGACUCCAUAAAACAUGUAAAUCUAAACAUAAUGAGCUGCAAUAUGUAACAGGCCUCAUCAUCUUCACAUAUUUCAACUAUCCCAUAUAAGUCAUACAAAAGAGAAUUAAU